rnacentral:rRNA from 1 species
GAUGAACGCUGGCGGCGUGCCUAAUACAUGCAAGUCGAGCGAACAGACGAGGAGCUUGCUCCUCUUACGUUAGCGGCGGACGGGUGAGUAACACGUGGAUAACCUACCUAUAAGACUGGGAUAACUUCGGGAAACCGGAGCUAAUACCGGAUAAUAUAUUGAACCGCAUGGUUCAAUAGUGAAAGACGGUUUUGCUGUCACUUAUAGGUGGAUCCGCGCCGCAUUAGCUAGUUGGUAAGGUAACGGCUUACCAAGGCAACGAUGCGUAGCCGACCUGAGAGGGUGAUCGGCCACACUGGAACUGAGACACGGUCCAGACUCCUACGGGAGGCAGCAGUAGGGAAUCUUGCGCAAUGGGCGAAAGCCUGACGGAGCCAUGCCGCGUGAGUGAUGAAGGUCUUCGGAUCGUAAAACUCUGUUAUUAGGGAAGAAGAAAUGUGUAAGUAACUAUGCACGUCUUGACGGUACCUAAUCAGAAAGCCACGGCUAACUACGUG